CAUGAUAUAAUAUAUUAUGCUAAGACAGUGAUAGCGAAUCUAUGACAGGUGUGUCAGAGGUGACACACGAACUCAUUUUUUUGGUUGAUUUUUCUUUGUU